rnacentral:rRNA from 1 species
GACGAACGCUGGCGGCGUGCUUAACACAUGCAAGUCGAACGGAAAGGCCCUGCUUUUGUGGGGUGCUCGAGUGGCGAACGGGUGAGUAACACGUGAGUAACCUGCCCUUGACUUUGGGAUAACUUCAGGAAACUGGGGCUAAUACCGGAUAGGAGCUCCUGCUGCAUGGUGGGGGUUGGAAAGUUUCGGCGGUUGGGGAUGGACUCGCGGCUUAUCAGCUUGUUGGUGGGGUAGUGGCUUACCAAGGCUUUGACGGGUAGCCGGCCUGAGAGGGUGACCGGCCACAUUGGGACUGAGAUACGGCCCAGACUCCUACGGGAGGCAGCAGUGGGGAAUAUUGCACAAUGGGCGGAAGCCUGAUGCAGCGACGCCGCGUGCGGGAUGACGGCCUUCGGGUUGUAAACCGCUUUCGCCUGUGACGAGGCGUGAGUGACGGUAAUGGGUAAAGAAGCACCGGCUAACUACGUG